GACGAACCGUGCGAACGUUAUUCGGAAUCACUGGGCUUAAAGCGCGUGUAGGCGGAUUGGUGCGUCGGCGCCUGAAAUCCCCCGGCUCAACCGGGGAACGCGGCCCGAAACGACCAGUCUCGAGGGACGUAGGGGGGACUGGAACUUCCGGUGGAGCGGUGAAAUGCGUUGAGAUCGGAAGGAACGCCCGUGGCGAAAGCGAGUCCCUGGACGUCUGCUGACGCUGAGACGCGAAAGCUAGGGGAGCGAACGGG
rnacentral:rRNA from 1 species